UAUUCUUCUUCUCCUCCUCCACACAGACACAUACCUUGAGAGAGUGUGAAUGGCGAAGAAUGACGCGUCGUUGAGGAUCGGUGUAUGAAUUCUUGAAGCGGUGACGACUCGCCGUUAAUCGGAUCGCUCUAGAUCGUUCAGGUCGAUCCGGCGACGUUGAAAUUAAACGCCUCGUGGCCGCCGCCGCGAUCCACCCCCUCAUCACUGUCUGGAUACGCCGAUUACACAGACCCUGUUCACUUACCUGCUUUUGGGUGCUAAUUCUCACAUGGAUCUUCCUUGGCGCUCGAUAUUCCCUAUGGCAAUUGUUUGGUGCAGCCUUCUGUGUGGUUGGGCUUGGCAUAGUGCUCCUCUCUGAUGCAGGGGUGGCUGGGAGAGCUGCAACCAGUGGAGGAACCAAUCAAAAAGAACAUAAGCAAUUGCCUUCUUUUGAAGAAUAUACAAACAUGACACAUGGGCCGGGGUAAAAGAAAACAGAGGGAAGAAAGUGAAGAAGAGGAUAAUGAAGAAGAAACAUAACCAAUUGUAAACUCUAGCUUACUAAAUUUGUAUAUUUUUAUGGUGUCACUUCUAUGUUUAGUUUUCUUUAAUGAAACAUUAUUUUUAUAGACAUUUUGCAGCAGUUCAAGUUUUA